GUAUGUGUAACCACACCCGGUUAAUUUUUGCAUUUUUUGUAGAGGUGGGGUUUUGCCAUGUUGCCUAGGCUGUUCUUGAACUCCUGGGCUGAAGCAAUCUGCCUGCCUCGGCCUCCCAAAGUGUUAGGAUUACAGGCGUGAGCCACCAUGCCUGGCCCAGUCAGUGUUUCAAAAAGCCUCUGGGUGAUUUGGAUGGGUGCAAAAAUGUGGGAAUAUUUGUACAGCAGUUGUUGUGUGCAUUGCCCAGAUGUCCUAGAAGGACUGAAAGAUGUAUUCAUCUAAUUGCUGAGAGUGCUAUCAGCCUUCCUACCCAAGACCUCUUUCCAGGGGGCAGUCUACAUCCACUGACUGGUUGAUGCAGAAAUCUAAAGACCCUGUCCGCAGCUACAACAGACUGGUUGAUGCAGAAAUCUAAAGACCCUGUCCGCAGCUACAACAUGGAGCCACCCUAAAAAGCUGCCUUGGCUUCAGAGCUACCUGCGGGUUGGCUGAGGUCUUCGUUGAGAUUUCAUUGCAGCCCAACUCCUCCUUUGCCCAGCCUGCUUCCUUUCCUUCCAUUCCACAGGUGGGAAUCCUAGCAGCAGCUCUUGAUCUUCCUGUGCUCCAAUUUUCCUCCCAGAGACUGCUUCCUUGGGUACCCCCUGAGCUGUGGGGCAUACCUCACAAGGAAAAUGGGACAAGUUGAGACUUUAAAGAGGAUGGGGAAGAAGUCAAUCAGUGAUGAAGGGAGGGGCGGAAGGAUUGGACAUGGGAGGUGUCCCAAGAGAGGAAAGCAGCAUGAGUGAAACAUAGCCUAAGGCCCAUUAGGAACAGGAGAGCCACAGAAAUGGGCUACGUCACAGAAUGAGGAGGGAGUAGUGGGAUAUUGCUGAGGAAGUAGUUUGUGGAAGGUAUUAAGGUCCCCAAAUAAAGAGUUUGAACUUGGUUGGAAAGUUAACGUCAGGAUCUUACAGUCUCAUAGAGUAGCUAGACAUAACUCAAUCACACGAAUGCCAAAUUUGCACACACACACUAAAUUAUAGGGGCUCAAAGACCCAAUGAAAGACUCUGUGUACUAGGUAUACAUAUGUACUAGGUAUACCUGUGAGAGACUCUGUACUAGGUAUACAUAUGAGACUCUACGUACUAGAUAUACAUAGGUACUAGGUAGACCUAGUACAUAGACUCUGUCAUUCAAAUUUUGUUUUGGUUUUUCCCUUAUGAGACCAUGAAUUCUUUGAGAAUGAAAAUUGCUUUGCGUCCUGAUUUCUCCAGAAUGUAACAGUAGAUGCUCGAAAACAUUGGUUGAAUGAAUUAUGAGCUCAGGGACUCAACUUCCCACCACUUAGCAUGUACUAGAUUCUUGACAAACGUUUGUGAAUGAAUGAAUGAAUUGUUUUGGUGUCAAGGUGGUUCAACCAGAACUACUUCCAAAGUGCUGAUAAGGUGUCAUGUUGUUCAUAAAGCCACACUGACUUUAUUUUAAGAACUGCUGAGAGAUUUUAAGAGACCUUCCCUGUGUCAAGAUGCCUUUUCUUUUUGAAUGGAUGACGAUAGUAAAUAUUACUUUAAAGUAUCUUUUUUUUUUUUCUUUUUAAUAAAGAGACAGGGUCUCACUUUGUCUGCCAGGCUGGAGUGCAUGGUGUGAUUGUAGCUCCCUGCAGAUUGUAGCUCCCAGAGACUGGGCUCAAGCCAUCCUCCGCCUGCUUCACCUUCCUGAGUAGUGAGGAUUAUAGGGAUGCACCACUGUGCCAAGCUCUAAAAUAUUCUUACUACUCAAAAUAGUCAAUAAUUUAGUUGUCAAAAUUAAUUUUUGAACUAGUCAAAAAUUUGGAAGCAAUUUCUGCAAAGCAAGUUGGGAUAGAGGGGAGGCCUGGUGUCUGUUGAAGAUAAAGGAUUAAUCUUUGAGCUGCCCUUGAUUUUUUAUCCUUGAAAAAGUUGAGGAUGUCUAUGAUUGGGGGUUUACUGGGAGGGAGGUGAGGUGAUUACUGAGAGGAAAGGGAAACAAGGUUAUUUUCAAGAGUUGGGUAGGAGAUACAGAUUGGCAAGAAAACACUUCCAAAAUAAGCAACAAAAACAAACCCACUUUGUAAAACUGUUUGAGGGCAGAUGAAAAUUUUAAUUGAAGAGAUGCAAUUAUGUUCAAUGCAGGAUAGGAGAAAUGGGUUUUAGAUUUGUUUGAAAGCACUUUUCUGUAUCCACCUACUAUGCACAAAUGCUUUGAUGUAGUGGCAAGUUAGGAAAGAGGAGGGAAGUGGUCAAGGGAUGGAGGGAGGGUAGAGUGUGGGCUGCUCAGGUAGGUACCAUGGUGAGCAGAGGUUGUGGGCAUGUGGGGUUGGAAUUAGUGGGAUUAGCAGUUUGUAACUGGCUGCCCUUAUAAAUCCGGGAGCAUUAAAUAUGUCUGGACGAGAGGACUAACAAAAGUUGGCAAAGUGAUACAUGGUAGAGAUGGUCAUCCAGUAAUGAAGUAAUUUGUGUUUUCCCAGGGGUGUAGCAGUGAGGAUGAGGCUGGGCAGCUGGCUGCAGGAAGAUGAAUGACAAGGGGACAGUAGGGUGAUGGAGGUGAUGGAUAGCUGGUUGACAGCAAACAGGAAGAAACAAAAGGAGGGGGAGUGAGGGAGAGAGGGAAGGAGGGAAGGAAGUAAGGAAGGAAGGAAGGAAGAAAGGAGGGAGGGAGGGAGGGAGGGAGGGACAGAAAAGAGACAGAGAAAUAGAACAUAUUGCUGGCUCUCUUGUUGUUUUAGCUGCCUAGUGGCUAUGUAAACAAGAAUCAUAAGAGAUGGAAUAUGGGAAAUGCCAGCAAUAUCUAAAAGAGAAACCAGGACAAAGAAAAUCCAGAGUGUUUUGCAAAGAAGGCAAGGGUAAGAGCAUGUAGAGUUGGAAUUCGUGGGAUCAGCAGUUUGCAAUUGGCUGCCCUUACAAAUUAGGGAACAUUGAAUAUAUCUGGACCAGAGGACUAAGAAAAGUUAGCAAAGUGGUACAUGGUAGAGAUAGUUAUUCAGUACAUCAAGUAAUUUGUAUUUUCCCAGAUUGAUGAAAGUGUCUUCAUAACCACAAGAAUGAAAAACAUGUAUGAAACUAUGGUUUUUAUGUGACUAAAAGUUGACAGAAUAUCAAAUGUAUCUAAAUUGAAUUAUCUUUGAUCAUGCCUGGGCAUUCAGCUGAGCUGGUGAUAUUUGGAUGAGUAAUAAAAUAAUGACCUGAUUAAUAAAUUAUCAUAUAUUUUUCCAUAUAAUUUGUUCUUCUUGGCUUCCUUUCAGCAAAAUCAUAAAUUGUGUUGUUAUUGUAAAAGAAAAGUAGACUAUCGGGACCUCAAACUCACUAUGCCAAAGGGAAAGUUAAACUUGGGAAUCAAGCCACCAAUACUUUUUUCCUUUUGUACCCAAAUAGAUAACUGUAAUUUCACAACCCGUGUCAUAGCCUCAUUUGCUCUACUCCCUCUUUUCACAUGCUUACUUUAUCUUAUGUAAAAUGUAGAUUUACUGAGCACGAGACAAUACACAAUGGACUCUUCCACACUCCCUCUUUUCACAUGUAAAAUGUAGAUUCAGUGAAGCUAAUCAGACCCUCACAAGACUGUAACCAUCUGCCUCACUGCCUACCCUUCCUCCCAUCUCCUUUUUUCCCCUUUUUGCUUGCUCUUUCCCCUUUAAAUACUAAAGUUCACAAAAUCUCCCUUGGAAAAAUCAUAGGUCAAAGAUGCUCCUGGGAUUUGUGUUUCUUCCUGGGCACAUCCUCAACCUUGGCCAAAUCAACCUUGAAUCGUUUGAGACCUCCCUCAGUCACUUUUUGGCUUCCGUUUUGGUAGCUACAGAGGGAUUCUCCGGGUAGAUUUGGCCCUUGGCCAGCAACAACUCUCCUAUCAAUGCCUGGUACUGGCUGGGGGUUUUUUCUGUUUUUUUUUUUUUUUUUUUUGAGUUGGAAUCUCACUCAGUUGUCCAGGCUGGAGUGCAAUGGCAUGAUCUUCAGUUCAUUGCAACCUCUGCCUCCUGGAUUCAAGCAAUUCUCCUGCCUCAGCCUCCUGAGUAGCUGGGAUUACAUGUGCCCGCCACCACACUGGGCUAAUUUUUGUAUUUUUAGUAGAGAUGGGGUUUCACCAUAUUGACUAGGCUGGUCUCUUGGCCAGGCUGGUCUUGUACUCCUGACCUCGUGAUCUGUCCGCCUUGGCCUCCCAAAGUGCUGGGAUUACAGGUGUGAGCCACUGUGCCUGGCCAGCUGGGGCUAUUUUUAUUUCUAUGACUAUUGGGAUGAUUUGCUGAGGUCUGGGAGCUUCUCCCUUCAGAGGUCCCUGACCUCGCCCAAAUUUUCAGUUGAGAUGAGGUUAAUUCUGCUGCAGAACUCCUUUAUGGGAGUUUAGUUUACUUUCAGCAAGGAAGAUGAGUUUCCCACUUCCGUGAUGGUGGAGAGUAGCCUUUAGCUUAGACCCCAUCUCCAGGUAAGAGGCUGAUUUGGGGAUUCAUUUUGGUAUUUGGUAGCUGUAGGUCAAAGUUAAUUGUCAGCUGGCUAUCACUUCUCCUUAUAAUCAGAGAUCUAGGCUAUAUGUAAAUUUUAAGAGAUGAGGUGAAGAGGUAGGUAGGGUGGUCUGGUCUUGUUAAGUUUGGGCAUCAUCUUUCAUCCUGAGAGUGAUGAGAAGUCAUUGAAGAGUUUAAAGGUGGAAAAUGCAUUGUGAGGAAUGGGUGGGAGGAUGGCUAGGCUGCAGGCAGAGAUCACUUUUUUCUGUUUUUGUUUGUUUGUUUCAGUCCAUCUUUUGUUAGAUUUGACCAACUUCUGGUCCCCUCUUAUGUCAACUGAAAUCCCUGCAGCUGCCGAAAGACAAAUUUUACCUCUAAAAUCCCUGGCUGGUUAAGAAAAAUCAAAAUUUGACUACCUGAGAGGUUUUAUUUACGUAAGACUGCCUUCCCAGCCUCUCUCUCUGUGCUGUUAAAGAUUUUAGUGAUCUCUUAUAUUAAGCAAUUAAUGAAAAAGAUAAACUGUUUUACAGGACAAAGGCUAGCCUAAAAAAGUUCUCUUGACUAAAAUAGGUGCAAAAAAGUCUGACCUAAAAUAGUUCUGGUAGUUAAAAUUCCCAUCAGGGCUUGAGUUCGUUUCCUAAUCUGGGAACAACAAAGGCUACUCCACCUUGUGGCCUAAUAGUUAAAAUUCUGCAGUUUUACCUCCACUGCAUGGGUUUGAUUCCUGGUCAGGGAACCCACCCCUCUUGGUUUGAUACUUGUGUGAAUGUCUUUUAGGGUACCAACUUAUUAUUGAUCCAUUCCCUUUCCUUGGGAAGCUUUUGAUUUCCUGUUUUCUUCUGUCUGUUUGGGGUCACACAAGGCUUUUGAGCCUUUGUGUGUGGACAGUCAGUUGAGAAGCUAAGAUCCUAGAGAACAUGUCCUGAAAGAAAUGUGGUCUAUACCCUCUUUAUGGAUAGUGAAAUUUUCCUUCUCUGAGCUGUCUUUGGGGUGAUUCUAGAUCUUGUAAAAAACUGCUUGCCACCUCUUUGGAGACAUCUCAUGUGUCUGUGGUUGUUAUAACCUUGGUUGAAACACUGGGGAAGAUACCUUUGCAAAAGAAGUUCAAAAGCAAAAAAAUCAACCGUUUGUCCCAGCUAAAAUCUGGUAACAAAAGAUCUGAAAGGAUUUUUUUAGAGAGCUCUAUGGUUAGAAGUCAAUUUAAUUAGAAGCUGAUAUCUAGCCUUUAUGCUUUCAACACCUUUUGUUUCCUGUUUUUUGGAAUUUUUUUUUUUAGUUGACUUAAACUUUUUUUUUUAAAGAUGGGUCUUGCUUUGUUGCCCAGGUUAGAGUGCAGUGGCACAACCAGGGCUCACUGUAGCCAUGCUCUUCUGGGCUCAAGUGAUCUGCCCACCUCAGCUCCUCAGUAGCUGAUACUACAGGUGUGCACCACCACAUCUGGCUACUUUUUAAAUAUUUUUGUAGAGAUGGGGUCUCACUGUAUUGUUCAGGUUGGUUCUAAACUUCUGGUCUCAAGCAGUCCCCCCACCCCAGCCUCUAAAAGUGCUGGGAUUACAAGUGUGAGCCACUAUGCCUGGCUGGCUAAAACU
rnacentral:lncRNA from 1 species